rnacentral:tRNA from 1 species
AUCUAAGUAGUUUAAAUAAAACAUUGAUUUGUGGAAUCAAAAAUAUAAAAAUUUUAUCUUAGAUA